rnacentral:rRNA from 1 species
CUACGGGCUGCUGCAGUGGGGAAUAUUGCACAAUGGGCGCAAGCCUGAUGCAGCCAUGCCGCGUGUAUGAAGAAGGCCUUCGGGUUGUAAAGUACUUUCAGCGGGGAGGAAGGGAGUAAAGUUAAUACCUUUGCUCAUUGACGUUACCCGCAGAAGAAGCACCGGCUAACUCCGUGCCAGCAGCCGCUGGUAAUACGGAGGGUGCAAGCGUAAUCGGAAUUACUGGGCGUAAAGCGCACGCAGGCGGUUUGUUAAGUCAGAUGUGAAAUCCCCGGGCUCAACCUGGGAACUGCAUCUGAUACUGGCAAGCUUGAGUCUCGUAGAGGGGGGUAGAAUUCCAGGUGUAGCGGUGAAAUGCGUAGAGAUCUGGAGGAAUACCGGUGGCGAAGGCGGCCCCCUGGACGAAGACUGACGCUCAGGUGCGAAAGCGUGGGGAGCAAACAGGAUUAGAUACCCCCGUAGUC